AAGUCGUAACAAGGUCUCCGUUGGUGAACCAGCGGAGGGAUCAUUACAGAGUUGCAAAACUCCCUAAACCAUUGUGAACGUUACCUAAACCGUUGCUUCGGCGGGCGGCCCGGGUCCUUCCCGGCGCCCCCCGGCCCUCGCGGGCGCCCGCCGGAGGUAAACCAAACUAUUGCAUUAAUGGCCUCUCUGAGUCUUCUGUACUGAAUAAGUCAAAACUUUCAACAACGGAUCUCUUGGUUCUG
rnacentral:misc_RNA from 1 species